UAGGGAAUCUUCGGCAAUGGGGGGAACCCUGACCGAGCAACGCCGCGUGAGUGAAGAAGGUUUUCGGAGCGUAAAGCUCUGUUGUUAAGGAAGAACGAGUGUGAGAAUGGAAAGUUCAUGCUGUGACGGUACUUAAACAGAAAGGGACGGCUAACUACGUGCCAGCAGCCGCGGUAAUACGGAGGUCCCGAGCGUUGUCCGGAUUUAUUGGGCGUAAAGCGAGCGCAGGCGGUCAAUUAAGUCUGAUGUGAAAGCCCCCGGCUCAACCGGGGAGGGUCAUUGGAAACUGGUUGACUUGAGUGCAGAAGAGGAGAGUGGAAUUCCAGGUGUAGCGGUGAAAUGCGUAGAUAUAUGGAGGAACACCAGUGGCGAAGGCGACUCCCUGGUCUGUAACUAACGCUGAGGCUCGAAAGCGUGGGUAGCAAACAGG
rnacentral:rRNA from 1 species